rnacentral:rRNA from 1 species
AGAGUUUGAUCCUGGCUCAGGACGAACGCUGGCGGCGUGCCUAACACAUGCAAGUCGAGCGGAGACAGUGAGUAGCUUGCUACGAGCUGUUUUAGCGGCGGACGGGUGAGUAACGCGUGAGCAACCUUUCCCAGACAGGGGAAUAACACACCGAAAGGUGUACUAAUACCGCAUAAGACCACGGGAUCACAUGGUUCUGGGGUAAAAGAAUUAUCGGUUUGGGGUGGGCUCGCGUCCGAUUAGGUAGUUGGUGAGGUAACGGCCCACCAAGCCGACGAUCGGUAGCCGACCUGAGAGGGUGAUCGGCCACAUUGGGACUGAGACACGGCCCAAACUCCUACGGGAGGCAGCAGUGGGGAAUAUUGGGCAAUGGGGGGAACCCUGACCCAGCAACGCCGCGUGGAGGAAGAAGGUUUUCGGAUCGUAAACUCCUGUCCUUGGAGACGAGUAGAAGACGGUAUCCAAGGAGGAAGCCCCGGCUAACUACGUGCCAGCAGCCGCGGUAAUACGUAGGGGGCAAGCGUUGUCCGGAAUAAUUGGGCGUAAAGGGCGCGUAGGCGGCUCGGUAAGUCUGGAGUGAAAGUCCUGCUUUUAAGGUGGGAAUUGCUUUGGAUACUGUCGGGCUUGAGUGCAGGAGAGGUUAGUGGAAUUCCCAGUGUAGCGGUGAAAUGCGUAGAGAUUGGGAGGAACACCAGUGGCGAAGGCGACUAACUGGACUGUAACUGACGCUGAGGCGCGAAAGUGUGGGGAGCAAACAGGAUUAGAUACCCUGGUAGUCCACACUGUAAACG